GSAGGAUCCAAGCGUUAUCCGGAAUCAUUGGGUUUAAAGGGUCCGUAGGCGGUUUGGUAAGUCAGUGGUGAAAGCCCAUCGCUCAACGGUGGAACGGCCAUUGAUACUGCCAGACUUGAAUUAUUGGGAAGUAACUAGAAUAUGUAGUGUAGCGGUGAAAUGCUUAGAGAUUACAUGGAAUACCAAUUGCGAAGGCAGGUUACUACCAAUUGAUUGACGCUGAUGGACGAAAGCGUGGGGAGCGAACAGGAUUAGAUACCCUGGUAGUCCACGCCGUAAACGAUGGAUACUAGCUGUUGGGAGCAAUUUCAGUGGCUAAGCGAAAGUGAUAAGUAUCCCACCUGGGGAGUACGGGCGCAAGCCUG
rnacentral:rRNA from 1 species